rnacentral:rRNA from 1 species
CAAUAGCGUAUAUUAACGUUGUUGCAGUUAAAAAGCUCGUAGUUGGAUUUCUGGAGGGAGCGUCGGCCCGUAUUUACGAGUGCGUGACGUCUCUGUCCAUCCUUGCGGGAAGGCACGGCAUUGAUUUGUUGUGUCGGAUCGCAUCAUUUACUGUGAAAAAAUUAGAGUGUUCAAAGCAGGCUUUCGCUUGAAUACAUUAGCAUGGAAUAAUAAGAUAGGACUUUGGAGCUAUUUUGUUGGUUGAGCCUAAAGUAAUGAUUAAUAGGGAUAGUUGGGGGCACCUGUAUUGCGUUGUCAGAGGUGAAAUUCUUGGAUUUACGCAAGACAAACAGCUGCGAANGNGUCUGCNAAGGAUGUUUNCAUUA